rnacentral:rRNA from 1 species
CACGUAGGGCGCGAGCGUUGUCCGGAAUUAUUGGGCGUAAAGAGCUCGUAGGCGGCCUGUUGCGUCCGCUGUGAAAGCCCGGGGCUUAACCCCGGGUCGGCAGUGGAUACGGGCAGGCUAGAGGUAGGUAGGGGAGAAUGGAAUUCCCGGUGUAGCGGUGAAAUGCGCAGAUAUCGGGCGGAACACCGGUGGCGAAGGCGGUUCUCUGGGCCUUACCUGACGCUGAGGAGCGAAAGCGUGGGGAGCAAACAGG